CACACAAAGAGAACCUGCAGGAAGGGUUUCCAUAGUGAAGGGGUGCACAUGAGAUUUCACAGGGGGGACAGUGCCCUACAGUCUGUUUGGGGUCAGAAGUUGGCUUGCAAAGCAACAGAGUCAUCUGGGAAAGACUGCUGUCUAGAAUUCCUGAAAGUCACUGCUGGUCAAAGGAGACAACAGGGAGCUUGAUUGAACAUUGAGGCCUGGCCUUGGCACCCUGGUAGGAAUCUUUGUUGACCACCACCAUCACCACAACGAAGGUACCGAAAGGGGGAAAAGGGGAAGCUGUGGGAUCCUUAAUGUAGAGAAUAGGAAUGACGAUGAAGAAU